rnacentral:rRNA from 1 species
UACGUAGGGUGCAAGCGUUAAUCGGAAUUACUGGGCGUAAAGCGUGCGCAGGCGGUUUUGUAAGUCUGACGUGAAAUCCCCGGGCUUAACCUGGGAAUUGCGUUGGAGACUGCAAGGCUGGAGUCUGGCAGAGGGGGGUAGAAUUCCACGUGUAGCAGUGAAAUGCGUAGAGAUGUGGAGGAAUACCGAUGGCGAAGGCAGCCCCCUGGGAUAACACUGACGCUCAUGCACGAAAGCGUGGGGAGCAAACAGG